AGCAGACUGGAUGCUUCUAAUUCUAUUCCUAGCAGCAAAAUGGAAUAUCCUGGCCUGUCUCACCCUGUGUACCAGAAAUAAGUCAUCCCAAACUCAAAUGCUAAGAGAACAGUUUCUCCAUCCCAAACCAGGCCACCUUCCCUAAAGAGAAAAGAGAAGAAAGAGAAAAGACUUUGUAUCAGCUAGGAUCUGUAAGUGAGGAAAAUAAAGAAGAGUCACCCCCAACAGGAUCUUCGUACAAUAAUCAACCCCUGGCUUCGGCCAGCCAGGAUCAUGGGCAUCUGCACACUAGAAUGUACAGGAAUACUUUGGUUCAAGAACUCAGGACCUUCCCAUGUGACGUCAGCAUCAUGGGCAUAUCUCUUCAACUUCUGACUUAAUACAAGACAGCUUGAUUCUUCUGAUCCUGCAUUUAAUGUGUUGCCAUGUGCUGUUUAAUGAAGUAUGUGGAUAAAAUCAAGCUUCGCUCGAAGGCAUAGUUGGUUGUGGGCUUCAGAGAGAGAACACUAACAGCAGCAGGAACUAAAAAGUCUUAGGUGCUGUGCCAAGCGUGUUUCAUGCACAAUCUCACAGGAAGUUCCGCUUUAUCCCCACUUUCGGACAAGGAAACUGAGGAUCAGAGAGAGACAAGACACUUCUCUUUCACAACCGUCCUGCCUCAGCUUCCCAACUGGGACUACAGGUGCAGAGAUUGGCGCAGCAGCUCACCCUCCAGCACUGAGCAUCCAUGUUGGGCAGAACUUCCAUGGUCACCCAUUUCAUUGGCUCUUGGCUAGACCUUAGAAUAGUUUCCCGAAGGAAGACCUAGGAACAAUCUGGGAAGAUACCUGAGGCCUACCUCAAACUUGCAGGGUCAGAGUUUCUGUGGCUGGUGCCUGAGACAUCUUACCCAUACUUCCCAGGUGAAUUUAUCCCCAAGUGAUUUUUAUGGAUCUUAAAGUUUGGAAACAAUGUCCAUGGAGAGAUGUGUUAGAUUCUCAUUCUGGUUCCUAUCAGAUGUGUGAAGCAUGCAUAAUAUGAAGAGUGAGAAGUCUGAGGCCUUGUCCACAGGAAAUAAUCAGCCCAACAGCUAAACCUGGGCUCACAGGCCAGCUACCCCACUCUGGACCCCCUCUCAGGACUUAUCUCCUCACUGCCUUCAAGCCUUUCUACUUUGAAAAGUCUUUUGAGAAUCUUCAAAAUGAUAAACUAAGACCUACAGCAGCACUCCAAGG